rnacentral:tRNA from 1 species
CUGAAGUGGACAUAGUUUAAAAAACAUUAAGCUGUGGACUUAAAAAUAAAGACUCAACAAUCUUUUGUACACC